UAGCACAGUGGUAGAGCACUUGCCUUACACGUAGGAGAUUCUGGGUUCAAUUCCCAG
rnacentral:tRNA from 1 species